rnacentral:rRNA from 1 species
UACAUGGGGUGCAAACGUUGCUCGGAAUUAUUGGGCGUAAAGCGCGCGUAGGCGGUUACUUAAGUCGGAUGUGAAAGCCCUCGGCUUAACUGAGGAAGUGCACCUGAAACUGAGUAGCUAGAGUACGAAAGAGGGUCGCGGAAUUCCCGGUGUAGAGGUGAAAUUCGUAGAUAUCGGGAGGAACACCGGUGGCGAAGGCGGCGACCUGGGUCGAGACUGACGCUGAGGCGCGAAAGCGUGGGGAGCAAACAGG